ensembl:lncRNA
GUUUGAACAUGGCCUCGAAACGGCAACAGGAGUCGGGAGCGGAGAAAAGAAAGAAGAGGAAGCGUGAUGAAACUCAGGCGUCGCUUGCCGGGUCAAUGCUUAAAUAUGUUCAAGGAGGAUCUCAAGGACAGGAUGAACCAUCCAGUAGUAGUGCCAUCCCUGGACAUCAACCACCAGCCAUUGUAGACCCUGCAACAAUCCCUAGCCAAGAAGAACAAGAACCAUCAACCACCAGUUCAGAUAUCCUGGACGUGUUUUGACAUUAAAUUCCUGCGCUACAUAAGUAGUUUGUGCACAGUCUACAUCAACCCUUCAACACGCACAGGUAAGAAUGACAGUUGUGACUUGUAACAUUUAUUCCUAACCUGGUCUUCUCUUGCCUCCUCUGGUCUCCAUGGAAGAGCAUGUCCACAAAAAAGUCAAGGUUGGACUUAGACCACACUUUAUCUUCUGUGCAAUACAGGCUAGAAAAGUCCAUGACAUAACUGGACCACUUUUGGCUUUGUAAAAUGUCCUUUGUAUAGGAUAAGGUGUGGUUGUACA